AGCCCCUGAAUACUCACUAAGGCUUCUCGGAGCACAAUGAGGACUCUGAAGUGCCCUGGCCCUGGCCCGGUAGCACCAGGCUUGCACACGGACAAAUCAGUCCCGCUUUACCUUUGCGGCCAUUUGGCUGAGCGCAGCACCCCAAUGGCUUUGGGGCCUCCCCGCGGGGUCCCUCCAGUCCGGAUUUCCUUUCACCGACGACCUUUGCUCGUCCCGCGCCGCGCCGGGCCAGCCGGAGUCCCCAGGGGGCAGCCAGCGCUCGCAGUGGCGAAUACCCGGACCGAGCCCCAGCGCGCCUCUCCUCCGCUCGCUCGGUCCUCCCCCGCCGCCAGCCGGGGCCCAGGGGCGGGCGGCAGAAGUUGCUGCUGCUGCCUCUCGGCUCGGCAGCUUUGGACACGAUCCGUCACGAGCCCGCCAGCUCCGAGCCGCGGCGCGCCCAGCGGGGCCGAGCCUGUGCGAAAGUUUGGGGCGCCGAGUCCCGCCUCGCAAACGGUGUGUAGCUGGCGGGCGAGGCCGCCCCGCGGGGAAAAGCCCGUUCGCUUCGCAGCCCCGAGGUGCUCCCCACGGCUGGGGCAGCCCGGGGGGAACCGGGCGCGCAAAGUUACAGCGGAGCCGGAGCAGCCGAGGGACGGUGACCCCGCCUCCCGCGCGGGACCAGCCUUCCCGGCAGCGAGCGGCUCUGAGCCUGGCUGGGGGGUGGGAAGUUCCCGGGCCAGAGCGGAGGAGCCCAGGCUGCGGCCGCAGCAGAUGUUAGCAGCAGGCGGAAGACAGCGGGGCUGCUGCUGCGGCUUGGGGGAGGCGCGCCGGGCUCUCCCGCGCUGGCUGCGGGGCGGACUGAGGUGACGGGAAAGGAGGGGCGCCUCCGCCUUCCUCAGCUUGUCCGGCCAGCAAUCCAGCUGUGCCCGGACAGGCCGCGCCCCUCCCCGAGAACUCUCCCCUGCCCCGAGCCGCGCCGCUGGGGCUUGGCUCCCUGGCGGCGGGGGUCGCUUUGGCAGCGAACGCUUUGCACAUCGUCUGGGGGUAACUGUGCCUCGACGCUGGUCACCUUUUGGUCUCAGCCGUGAUAAGCCCUAUGGGGAUCCUGAAAGUUGUGACCACGUGAAGUGUUGACUGGGGAAAGCAACCAUUUUGUGUGUGGAAACACGAGGUUUGGCUGACCAAGUCUUACCGCAACUGAGGUGAGGACUCACAUAGGGCAGACAUUGGCAUCUGGGAGAGAGGAGGAUGCACCAAUGAGGAGGGAGGAUGUCAUAUCUCAUACUGACAUGUUUGAACCUUUCCAUGAACUCAAGGACUUGAAAAUCAGGGUGAAAAAACCACACAACUCUGUGACAUAAUUGUAAAAAUACUCAACUAAACAUUUACAGAGCCAAAAUCUGCAGUGAUUUGCACCCUAUGUAACCCGGCGACUGAGUUUGCAAGAAAUGUAACUCAGCACAGAACCAAGUCCCUGUUGUUUGUUUUCUCAUUUCUUUACUAUUCCAUUUCAUAUCUAGUGUUUGCUCGCUCUCUUCAAUGUAUUCUCUCAUCUUUCUCUUCUCUUCCUGUCUCUCUCUGUCUGUUUCCCUUUUUCUGGAAAAUGUAACUGGGCCCACCAAUUCUCAAAAAGAAUCAUGGUUCCUUCUUGUGAUGCUGGCAGACUAGGUGCCAGCACAUGCCAAGGCCCAAGGCCUCACAAAACACUGACAAAUAUAUACCUGGGCACCAGUCUGGCUUACCUGUGGGAUAGUUAGUUAAAAUAAAAAUUAGUGUUAUAAGAAUGUGUUUAGUGUUUAGACUUAAUGGAAUGUUUGUAGGAUGCUGCAUGUAUUAAUCCUACUUAUAAUAUCUAUAUCCCCUGGCAAAGGAUAAGAUUUUGUAAUGGAAGUCACAGAAGCUACAGAUUCUGUGACUUUCAAAGACCUUUGUGACAUUUUCCCUUCACCUUCAGCCCUAUGCAGCAGGCCCCACAGCUUUCAGCCACCGUGGGGCUCGGGCGUCAGUCAUCCCCGCAUCAACCCUCCCCCAUUAUUUAUUGUAAAAGUAACAGACAGGUCGCAGGCUUCCAUGAAUUUUUGUAAAUUGCCUGCAUCCUGUCCGUGACUUUUACUAAAAAUAACCAUGAUAAAAUCUCAACCUUACCCAUGGUCUAAAACAGGGGUGGGUAAACUACAGUCCGCGCGCCGCA